rnacentral:rRNA from 1 species
GACGAACGCUGGCGGCGUGCCUAACACAUGCAAGUCGAACGGAAAGGCCCUGCUUUUGUGCGGUGCUCGAGUGGCGAACGGGUGAGUAACACGUGAGUAACGUGUCCUUGACUUUGGGAGAACUUCAGGAAACUGGGGCUAAUACCGGAUAGGAGCUCCCGCUGCAUGGUGGGGGUGGGAAAGUUUCGGCGGUUGGGGAUGGACUCGCGGCUUAUGAGCUUGUUGGUGGGGUAGUGGCAUACCAAGGCUUUCACGGGUAGCCGGCCUGAGAGGGUGACCGGCCACAUUACGACUGAGAUACGGCCCAGACUCCUACGGGAGGCAGCGGUGGAGAAUAUUGUACAGUGGGCGGAAGCCUGAUGCAGCAACGCCGCGUGCGGGAUGACGGCCUUCGGGUUGUAAACCGCUUUCGCCUGUGACGAAGCGUGAGUGACGGUACUGGGUAAAGAAGCACCGGCUAACUACGUG